UUUGCUGGAACCUAUUCACUUAGGGAUCAGCUCUCCUUAAAUGCAUUAGCGGUUAACUUGAUCCCCUUUCAUUGGUGUGAUAAUUAUCUACGUCUUUGGAAUGAUCAGCAGAAUGUUAAUAGCUUCUAGUCAGUCCCUUAGUUGGACAACUUUUAUGACCAUUUGACCUCAAAUCAGGUAGGACUACCCGCUGAACUUAA
rnacentral:misc_RNA from 1 species